AAGUGAGUCCUGUUCAGCGUGGGAGGAAAUAACACAAGAGGCAAAGAUCACUCGGGACCACCUUGUAUAUUGGCUACCACAGAACCCAACACAAGCACCGUUCUUUCCCAAGUUACCUCUCUCAGAUUCCUGCAGAAAAGCCUGAGUGCCAGCCUCCAGCUCUGGAUAAGAUUCUCCAAGAGUGGUUCUCAAUCUUGCAGAAACUCAGAAUCUCCUAGGAGCUCAAAACAACACCACCAACAACAACAACACCUCUUCUCCAAGCCGCAGACUCAGGAAAUGUGAUUCAUUCAAUCUGCCUGGGGUGGUCUAGGCAUAGUACUUUCUUUACCUUCUAUCGCAUUAGGUGCAGAGUCAAUGUGACUUGAGGGCGAGAAUGAGUUCACAUCUCCUGGCUGCUCCUCUAGCUCCCCUAAUGGUACACAGCCAAUGGUCACAGGCCUCAUUUCACAGAAGGAAGCACAGAUGGGCUGUGACAUUCCAAGGAAACAGCUUAAAUGACGGGAAGAAAUGGAAAUGGGAAUAGUUAAUUUCCCAACCCAGACCUCUAGGUCAGCCCAGGGACCCCAGGGACUGGGGAAGUUUUAAAAAAUGCCUCUUCUUGUUCCUCAAA
ensembl:lncRNA LINC01968 long intergenic non-protein coding RNA 1968